CCAGCUGAAGAUGCUGUCCGAUUCAUUGACCUCUCCGGUUAUCCGCAGUUCUUCGACGAUAUGGCUAACGGUUGCAUUGAAAUGACGAGAGCUCAACCCGCAAGUGCCGCGUUUGGGAGCCAGUCAAUUCUUCAGGUUCAUGAGGUCGGCAGCUUUCACGCGUCGUUUGUACCGUCCCAGCGAGACUUCGCUCGGUUGGAUAGCCGCUUCCGUCUUCCCGACCAGGUUUGGGAGCAGCUGCCGCAAUAUAGUGACGACGCUUUCGCGGUCUUCAAAUUGCGGG
rnacentral:misc_RNA from 1 species